UACGGAGGGGGCAAGCGUUGUCCGGAAUUAUUGGGCGUAAAGAGCGCGUAGGCGGUCCGAUAAGUCGGCUGUGAAAGUCAGGGGCUCAACCCUUGGAAGCCGGCCGAUACUGUCGGACUAGAGUCCGGAAGAGGCGAGUGGAAUUCCCGGUGUAGCGGUGAAAUGCGCAGAUAUCGGGAGGAACACCAAUGGCGAAGGCAGCUCGCUGGGACGGUACUGACGCUGAGGCGCGAAAGCGUGGGGAGCAAACAGG
rnacentral:rRNA from 1 species